CCCACUUUCUCUCUCCACCCAACUGGCAGCAACUCCUUGAUAAGUUACCAAAGGCCAUCUCACCAUCACCCAUCCUUUCAUUUUCUCACAAAAACAUCCUACCCUCUUUCAAAAAACCUUCAACUUCUUAUUAUGGCUGGCAGAGCACCCUGGUUUAUCGGAAAGAAAGCAGCUCAUAGAACUAUUCCCGCACAUCGUUCCUCCUCUGAGUCUAUCAAUAGUCCAGAAGAAGAGUCUUUUGAAGAAUCCUGUGCACCGCCCUUCCCAGGAAAAGCCGGACCUUCUGCACCCGAACAGAGAAAGAACUGGAACUAUGUAUACAACAACAAGGAAGAGGACUUUGUAUGGUCAUGAAGAUAACGGCGACGACUCAUUCUUGGAAGCUGAUACUCUGUGACGAGCCACUACCGGAUGACGACUACACUUCAGAUAAAGAGGAAGAAGAUGAAGAGAAAGUGGCCAAAAAUUUGGGUUGGGUUGAGAGACAUUCAUUUUCUCUUUGGGUUGAGAGUACCGAGUUCGGGAAGCAUUGAACAAUUAUUUUGUUUUCAUUUGGAUAAUUAAAGUUGAUGUAAUUUACCUUGAUUUUAGACGUAUGUUUCUUA